AGAACGAUAUGUCAAGGAAGAUGGUGUGUUGAAGAAGAAUGAGCGAACCGCGAUGUUUACUCAUUUAUGUCAUACUAUGGUGUUGGCACCGGAAUGUACCGGAAUCAUCCAUUUCAUCCAUGAACACUCCAGCAACACCUGGAAGUAGUAAAUCAAUAAAAACGUUAAAAUUGCCUUAAUUAGUCUGAUCAAUUAAUUUUUUUUAAUUUGUAAGCACCAUUUCGUUCUUCGUGCUGAAUAAUCAAUAUAUGUCUUUUUUAACAGAAUCAAGCGAUUUGCAGAGGAAGACGAAGACGACAAUUGACAAUAAAUGUAUUAUAUAAAACAUAUCUUUGACAUCCUUUCACAAUUUCAAGCAUCUGUACUUCGUGAAAUGGUGCAUGUAUGUGGUCGAUAACUGUUUUCUUUUCUUUUUCAUUGUACGACUUAUCCACGUAAAAUGAUGGGAUAAUAGAAGUUUGUUGUUGCUAUCCAGUAACUAGUAGUAAAAAAAAGUUGCAUAGCUUGCAUGUAGCUAAGCUACACAUUUCUUCAAUGGAGUGGUGACUUUCCUACGUUAUUAAAAGCUUAGUUUCAAUGGAUUAAAGAUCACUAGCAGACAAGAAUGUAAACAAAAGAAAAAAGAAAAUUCGUAUUGCGUGAUUAAUUACAUAUAUAACACUCGAAAAGUAUAUCAUUUUUUUUGGAGCAUUUCGCGGAGAUGUUUCUCUCAAGCAAGGUAAAUGUAUUCAUCGCGGCCUUGGCGUUCCAGGUACUCUUUUUCGAUUAACAUAUCUAUACAUUGCUUAAUAUCAGACACUUUAGGAGUAAAUCUGCUUUUAAUUUGAUCAAUAGUCUCUUUCACUAACACUACAUGUUUCAAUGUUCGGCGAGCCUUCAUGAUACGGACGAUAGCGGAUUGAAGCAGUAACUUUCGAUCUUCUUCUAUAGUUUUAUGAGUCUCCAGAGAUUCCUGCUUUUGCUCAGAUCUAAUUGGGAGAUUUAACUGUACCCGUAUCUUUUUCAUCCUAAAAUUUUCAUUGAUCUUAUAUGUGCUAUUAGGAUCACCAAGCUUGUCAUUGUCGCCAAGGAGAAGCACCUUUGCUUUUAGGAAUAUGUUCAGAAUCCCUGUCAAGAAAUCUGUACUUAACCCAGUUAUUUUUGCCAGCUCCUCAUAUGUAUAAGAAUCGCGAUGGUUGUACAAAAGCAAAACACCCAUUUGAUAUGUAGAAACUUGAAACACAUAAGUGACAUUAGUUUGAGGGUUAAUGCGUGCCUUUAUUUCUCCUUUAGAGAGAUGGAACAACCAGCUUAACUUCCUUCCGUUAUGGCAGCUAUAGUAAUAGUUUUGGAAUCCUUCAUACAAAGGAACUAAUUCCUCUGGCAGAUGAAAGUUCACAUUGUUGGGAGAUAGAGGCCAAAACGAUGUACCAAGUACAAGAGCAGAGAAAUCUAUAUUUCCAGCACGUGACUGAGGGAGUUGCCAAAACGCUUCGGUAAUCUCUUGAGACAAGGAGAUGUCUUGAAACAUACGCUGUAGCUUACUAGUAUAUUCAAAACCGCAGACUUCCUUUAACUUAGAUAGCAUGCUAGAUUCAGCAUCCUGGGAAUUAGAGGUACCAUUCACAAGUCGCUUGGCUAAAAGCUUAGUAUAAAAGUUUUGAAAAACAUCCUUGUCUUCGACAUAACGAAAAAUAAUGAUAAUCGACGAUAAACAGUCUUCAACAUCAUCAAUGUCAACAUUCUUGUUGCUUUUUCGCAAAAUACUGUCGGCGUAUUUAGCAAGCAACUCUGGGGAGCGAGAGGAAGAGCGCUGGCAAACAACAUUUCGAUUGACAAGUUCUCUAAAGGCUGUAUCCAAUGACUUUGUAAAAUCAGUAUCCCCAUGAAAUGCGGUGUUAACAAGUUCUUUGGAAGCUUUAUACGUGGAAAGUAACAUUUCCAUAUACUCUUUAGGAUCCACAUCGGCUUCUCCACCGACCUGGGGAACAAUUUUGGCAACCGCAGCAAAGCCUGAUCUCUUGACAAACUCCUCAAAUGUCUGGCGUAAAGGCUGCAACCCAUUAGGUGUUCGAGACAUCAAUCGGUACAUGCGAAUGAUAUCCUCACUGCAGUUUUGGUCGAGCAUGCGUGCAAAGUCGUUGUGCAAAACUUCUUCAUGUUGUGCAAUUAGUACAUCUUCAGUCGCUUCUAAAAGCGGCUUCAAUGUGGAUUCAUGCAAAUAUAAUCUCACAAGCUCUUCCUCCUCUGCUAGUCUUAUUUCUGCCUUUUUUAAGUAAUCCGUAAUAGAAUGGGAAGCCAAGUAUUCGGAAGACUCCUUUGCAUAAAAGUUUUUUGUAUUUUCAAUAAAGUUUGUUUCGAAAAAAGUUUUGUAUGAGCUCAAGUUAGGCUUUGUCAUAUCGGUUUUAUCAAAGCUCAAUGAAGUGAUAGAAUCCACACAAACUUCCACAUAUUUCAUAUCAGUAGGUUCAUAUAAUCUUUUUUUGGUGAACAUGUAUAACAAAUUUUGAAGUAGGCUAUCGCGAAUGUGGGAAAAAACGUGAUGAUGCCAUGACACAAGACAAAGUGUGUAAAUGUCGUACACGAGUGUCUCAGUAAAUCUGUUCUUCAGUUUAACCCAAUAUCUAUUUAAAUAUCCAAAAAGAUGGUUGAUAAAACGGGCAGAUGUUGUAAAUCGCGUCCAAUACUUGGCAUACGCAGCGAGUUGCUCUUCAUGAUUCGUUUGCGAAAUGCAUUCCUAAAGCGCCAAUUAGCACGAGAAAAAUUACCACAUAAUGCAAUUUAUUCCUUAAUCAUAAUAAAAGACCAGAUGCUUAUGCUAGCACUCUUUAAAAUGUCCAGAGAAAAUGUUUAGAAAUUAAAGAAAACUGCUGAACACUCGAGGUGCAAUGAAAUCUUUGUCGUAGAAUUAUAAAUAAAAAACCGAUAUUUAAACUCACCUUUCGCAGACGGGCCAAAUACUCUUCCAGAUAUAGAACCAAAUUAUUGUAAAGGGCUUCGCCUAAAACGU